UUAAAAUGUAAAUAAAAAUACUAAAUUAGUAUUAGUUAUGUUCUUCAAAGUUAAAGAUUUUGGCGGUAUUUUAGUCUAUUCAGAGGAACCUGUUCUAUAAUUGAUAGUCCACGAUUAACUUUACUUUAUUUAUAAAUUUGUAUAUCGUCGUUAAUUAAGAAUUUUAUUAGAAUAUAAAUUUUUAAGAUUUUAAAUUAAGAAAUAAUUCAGAUCAAGGUGCAGUUAAUAAUAAAGAAGAAAUGGGUUACAAUAAAUAUAUUUAAAUGGAUAAAAAAAGAAAAAUUUAUUGAAGGUGGAUUUGACAGUAAUAAAAUUAAGUUAAAUUUUAUGAUUUUGGCUCUAAAAUAUGU
rnacentral:rRNA from 1 species